rnacentral:misc_RNA from 1 species
GGAAGCUGCACCUGUUCUUGAUGACGAUUCCUUGAAUGAUCUUAUAGCACGAAGUGAGCCAGAGAUUGAUAUAUUUGAGUCAGUUGACAGGAGAAGGCGUGAAGAAGAGAUGGAAAUCUGGAAGAAGUUAUGCUUAGAAAGUGGAACACAAAGUUCAGAACUCAUUCCUCCUUUGCCCUCUCGACUUCUUACUGAUGAUGACUUGAAACCAUUCUAUGAAGCAAUGAAAAUAUCUGAUAAGCCAGUUGUGGCUCCUAGCCCUGGGUUAAAAAGGAAGGGUCAGAGUCUUGGGGGUCUUGAUAUCCAACACUAUGGACGUGGGAAAAGAGCAAGAGAGGUUCGUUCAUAUGAAGAGCAAUGGACUGAAGAGGAAUUUGAGAAAAUGUGCCUUGCUGAGUCUCCUCAAUCACCUAGUCUAAAGGAAGAAAUUCAAGAAAAGAAUUCCCCUUCAGUCUCUGGCAACUGUCCUGACCCUGUUGUUGCCAAUAGUGAAUUACAAACCCGAGCACAGUAUCAGCCUCCUCUCCAGCACCCUGUGCAAGAACUUCCCCAACAACAUAUAGGACCCAUAAUUCAACAAAGCCCCGUGACUGUGACUCCGCCAUCUAAACGGGGCCGGGGAAGACCAAGGAGGACAGCAAUAGUUGCUGAAAUUUCAC